CCUACGGGGUGCUGCAGUGGGGAAUAUUGCACAAUGGGCGCAAGCCUGAUGCAGCCAUGCCGCGUGUGUGAAGAAGGCCUUCGGGUUGUAAAGCACUUUCAGCGGGGAGGAAGGCGUUAAGGUUAAUAACCUUGUCGAUUGACGUUACCCGCAGAAGAAGCACCGGCUAACUCCGUGCCAGCAGCCGCGGUAAUACGGAGGGUGCAAGCGUUAAUCGGAAUUACUGGGCGUAAAGCGCACGCAGGCGGUCUGCCAAGUCGGAUGUGAAAUCCCCGGGCUCAACCUGGGAACUGCAUUCGAAACUGGCAGGCUAGAGUCUUGUAGAGGGGGGUAGAAUUCCAGGUGUAGCGGUGAAAUGCGUAGAGAUCUGGAGGAAUACCGGUGGCGAAGGCGGCCCCCUGGACAAAGACUGACGCUCAGGUGCAAAAGCGUGGGGAGCAAACAGGAUUAGAUACCCGAGUAGUC
rnacentral:rRNA from 1 species